rnacentral:lncRNA from 1 species
ACAGCUGCACAGAGGCCAGCAUGGCCGUCCCCCAAGUGCCCACAGCAGACAGAGAGUGAGGAAGGCGGGUGGGUCUGAGCUGGAAGGAGGCUGCCUGUGAAGGGCAUGCCUGCCUGGCUGCAUUAAUGAGAAUAUAGCAUCCGGGAUGGUGGAGGGGACACAGCUGGGGGAGCAUCACCAUGAGCAGCACUCCCGGUGGGAGGGGCUUGCGGGGCAGAGCCGCUCAGGAGAGGCCGGCUCUGGGGUUUGGAAGCUGCAAGAAGGGCAGCGGGGAGCAGCCAGUGGCCGGCUCUGGUGCAGACACAGGUGGGAUGGGGCUGGAGCCCGGGGCGAGGUGCAGAGAGGGGGUCAGCGCCCACAGAGGAGGACGUUGCUGGUGACCCAGGGGCAUCCCAGGUGAAGCCCGGGCGGAGGUCCUGACCCCGAGGAACUUCUCAGAGCCUUGGAACUGAACCACCCCAGACACGGCCAGGCGUCCCGUGCACCCGCGGCCCGUCGCGCUGACACACAGCCCUUCCUGCAGUGACUCUGUGUCCGCCUGCAGAAUGCCCAGCUUUGCCGUGGACACACCGCAGCUUCUAGGACGUGGGACACAGGAUUCAAAGCACGGCCCCCGGACCCCGGACACACCCCCGCUGACCAGGAGGCCUCCAUCUACGGAGAGCGGAAGGCCGGGCGGCCCCGAGCCACGGCCCCGCCCUGCAGGCCCCCCAGGAGGCUGUGGGCCGGGCUGGAGUCAGGGAGCGCCCCAGGGCCCGGAAGGAUGAGGGCCCUGGGGUGCUCUUCAACCUCCCGGGUGAGCUAAGGGAAGGCGGCCUUCAUCCUCACGUCUUCCCCCUCCCCGCGCUUGGCGAAAUACGCAGGCCCCUGGAUCCAGUCCUGCAGGCGGCCCAGCGCGGGGCUGGCCAGAGGGCAGAUCGCGCCUGGUCUCAGGCGUCCGCCGUCCACUCAAAGUUACGACAACAGUUCACCAGGAGGGCGGGGCUGACGUCCGUCCCUCUGGAGGCAGCAGCACUGGGCACGCGGGUCAGCCCUGGGCGUGAUCCCUGACCCGCCUUCGACCCCCCCACUUUCCCUGGAAUAAGAGGAAAUAACCCCAGUGGACAGCUUGUCCUCAGACGGCCACCCCCUCCCCCAAACUCUGCUUUUCCUCCCGGACCUGGGUCCCUGCAGGCGAGUCUCCUGGCUUCUCCGUUCUGAGUUUCUUCCCCCUCUCGCCCCUGCUAAGCCCUGUGCUCACGGGGGUCUCGACGCUGCCUGGGGGUCUGCAGCUCAGACAGCGAAGAGCCCGGUCAGCGGCCACGGCCCAGAUAGAGCCACGCGGGCAAAGAUGGGGCCUGCCCACCGCCCGGCUGUGGGAGGGGUCUCCCCGGCAGGCUGUGCCGCUGCUGCCCGCCGUGUGUCCCAGGGCCCCAGGCGCUGCAGGCCCCGAGGAACUUUUUAUUUGAGCGCAGUUGUGUAAUAAAGUAUUUAAAUGG